rnacentral:rRNA from 1 species
UACGUAGGGGGGCAAGCGUUGUCCGGAUUUAUUGGGCGUAAAGAGCGUGUAGGCGGCCAUACAGGUCAGCUGUGAAAACUCGAGGCUCAACCUCGAGACGUCGGUUGAAACCGUAUGGCUAGAGUCCGGAAGAGGAGAGUGGAAUUCCCGGUGUAGCGGUGAAAUGCGCAGAUAUCGGGAAGAACACCCGUGGCGAAAGCGAGGUCCUGGACGCCUACUGACGCUGAGACGCGAAAGCGUGGGGAGCGAACAGG